rnacentral:tmRNA from 1 species
GGGGGUGUCUUGGUUUCGACUGAGAGCCGGAAGGUGUAGUGGCAUGUCGGAGAUAAUGGUUGGCUCCGUAAAAAUCCAUUAAAAAAAUUAAACGGCAAAAAGAAUAAAGCUGUUGCAACUCUGUACGUCGACAAUGUCGUGAGAAAUCUCGACUUUGGCUGCGUUAUGAGUAAAGCUGCGUAGAUUGACGUGGCGCAUCAACCGCAGAAUGCUCGCUACUGCGGAUUUGGUGUCGACUAGCGAGUGAAGCGUAAAGUAGACCGACAGGCUUUGCGUGGAUCCGAAAUUGCCGGUAAGGUUGUUGCGAUUGUGUUUAUUUAAGCGCCUCAGCCGAGAUCAAACAAUAAACUAAACAUGUAGAGGCUAUGCGUGAACGUUCACAGGACGCGGGUUCGACUCCCGCCACCUCCACCC